rnacentral:rRNA from 1 species
AUUGAACGCUGGCGGAAUGCUUUACACAUGCAAGUCGAACGGCAGCACGGGAGCUUGCUCCUGGUGGCGAGUGGCGAACGGGUGAGUAAUAUAUCGGAACGUAUCCAAUAAUGGGGGAUAACUAGUCGAAAGAUUAGCUAAUACCGCAUACGCCCUGAGGGGGAAAGCUGGGGAUCUUCGGACCUAGCGUUAAUGGAGCGGCCGAUAUCUGAUUAGCUAGUAGGUGAGGUAAAAGCUCACCUAGGCGACGAUCAGUAGCUGGUCUGAGAGGACGACCAGCCACACUGGAACUGAGACACGGUCCAGACUCCUACGGGAGGCAGCAGUGGGGAAUUUUGGACAAUGGGCGCAAGCCUGAUCCAGCCAUUCCGCGUGAGUGAAGAAGGCCUCGGUUGUAAGCUCUUUCGUCAAGGGAAGGAAAACUUAACUACUAACAUAGUUGUAGGCUGACGGUACCUUGAUAAGAAGCACCGGCUAACUAACGUGCCAGCAGCCGCGGUAAU